rnacentral:rRNA from 1 species
GAUGAACGCUAGCUACAGGCUUAACACAUGCAAGUCGAGGGGCAGCAUUUCAGUUUGCUUGCAAACUGGAGAUGGCGACCGGCGCACGGGUGAGUAACACGUAUCCAACCUGCCGAUAACUCGGGGAUAGCCUUUCGAAAGAAAGAUUAAUACCCGAUGGUAUAAUUAGACCGCAUGGUCUUGUUAUUAAAGAAUUUCGGUUAUCGAUGGGGAUGCGUUCCAUUAGGCAGUUGGUGAGGUAACGGCUCACCAAACCUUCGAUGGAUAGGGGUUCUGAGAGGAAGGUCCCCCACAUUGGAACUGAGACACGGUCCAAACUCCUACGGGAGGCAGCAGUGAGGAAUAUUGGUCAAUGGGCGCAGGCCUGAACCAGCCAAGUAGCGUGAAGGAUGACUGCCCUAUGGGUUGUAAACUUCUUUUAUAUGGGAAUAAAGUUUUCCACGUGUGGAAUUUUGUAUGUACCAUAUGAAUAAGGAUCGGCUAACUCCGUGCCAGCAGCCGCGGUAAUACGGAGGAUCCGAGCGUUAUCCGGAUUUAUUGGGUUUAAAGGGAGCGUAGGUGGACAGUUAAGUCAGUUGUGAAAGUUUGCGGCUCAACCGUAAAAUUGCAGUUGAUACUGGCUGUCUUGAGUACAGUAGAGGUGGGCGGAAUUCGUGGUGUAGCGGUGAAAUGCUUAGAUAUCACGAAGAACUGCGAUUGCGAAGGCAGCUCACUGGACUGCAACUGACACUGAUGCUCGAAAGUGUGGGUAUCAAACAGGAUUAGAUACCCUGGUAGUCCGCACAGUAAACGAUGAAUACUCGCUGUUUGCGAUAUACAGUAAGCGGCCAAGCGAAAGCAUUAAGUAUUCCACCUGGGGAGUACGCCGGCAACGGUGAAACUCAAAGGAAUUGACGGGGGCCCGCACAAGCGGAGGAACAUGUGGUUUAAUUCGAUGAUACGCGAGGAACCUUACCCGGGCUUAAAUUGCAUUUGAAUAUAUUGGAAACAGUAUAGCCGUAAGGCAAAUGUGAAGGUGCUGCAUGGUUGUCGUCAGCUCGUGCCGUGAGGUGUCGGCUUAAGUGCCAUAACGAGCGCAACCCUUAUCUUUAGUUACUAACAGGUCAUGCUGAGGACUCUAGAGAGACUGCCGUCGUAAGAUGUGAGGAAGGUGGGGAUGACGUCAAAUCAGCACGGCCCUUACGUCCGGGGCUACACACGUGUUACAAUGGGGGGUACAGAAGGCAGCUACCUGGUGACAGGAUGCUAAUCCCAAAAGCCUCUCUCAGUUCGGAUCGAAGUCUGCAACCCGACUUCGUGAAGCUGGAUUCGCUAGUAAUCGCGCAUCAGCCAUGGCGCGGUGAAUACGUUCCCGGGCCU